rnacentral:ribozyme from 14 species
AAGGCAUGAAAAGAAAGACAGUCAUGUUUAUCCUUUUUGACAUUUGUUUUUUCUCCUUCCUUUUCUUCAUUAUCUAUUUCUUCUUCUUCUAUUGAUUCAUCAUUACAAACAACACCACUUUCCAAAGACAUAGAAGAAGACGAUGAUACCUUGCAAGGAUA